UGCACUCAAAGACGCCUCACAAGUAGCUCUUUGGCGCUUCAGAUGUAAAAUGGAUCACUCCUCAAUCUGUAAUAGACCCUUCCGUGGAGCUCUUCAAUCAAACCUCAGAAUUCAAGGCGUUUUGUAGCAUCCUAAACAGAAGGAUAUUGAAGGGAGCUGAUUCUGCUUUGAUCCUUGUGCUUGUUGUCAAAGCGCUUGGGAUUGAAGAGACUGUUGGCGACAAUUGACUGUGACAAUUAGGAGAUGAUCAGAGUCCUAGAGUGGAGCACUUAAAGGGUUUGCCUUUAGAACACUCUUGGAGCACUAAUGGUCUAAAAUUCUGGUAACUGCACAUUCUCUUUUUAGCGGGGUAAUGAGUGAAUGAACGAAAAGGCAGGGAUUGCUUGCCAUUCUAAGUGGGAAUUGCCAGAAGAUUUCUACGUGACUGAGUUGUUUUG